ACUUGUCAGGUAGGCUACUCUGGUUAAUGGAGACCACUUAUCAGGUAGGCUACUCUGGUUAAUGGAGACCACUUAUCAGGUAGGCUACUCUGGUUAAUGGAGGCCACUUGUCAGGUAGGCUACUCUGGUUAAUGGAGACCACUUAUCAGGUAGGCUACUCUGUCAGGUAGGCUACUCUGGUUAAUGGAGACCACUUAUCAGGUAGGCUACUCUGGUUAAUGGAGACCACUUGUCAGGUAGGCUACUCUGGUUAAUGGAGGCCACUUAUCAGGUAGGCUACUCUGGUUAAUGGAGACCACUUAUCAGGUAGGCUACUCUGGUUAAUGGAGACCACUCAUCAGGUAGGCUACUCUGGUUAUUUUGCAGUACAACAGGUGAUAUUCUGCCCAGACUCUAUAUGCCGUGGGCUCUCUAACACAGUUUCUGCAGCUACCCAGUGCUUCAUUUGGGAAACCAAGUGAAAUUUGUUUCGGGAACAUCGAUAGUAACAUGUUUUCACAAGGAAACCCAUUAAACUGUUGACAACCCCUCUACGUGCUCAAUAAAGGAAUGAAGGAGAGAGGGGAUGAGAUGGAAACGCACGGUGGUCAGAUAUUCUGUAAUGUGUCAGCCUAUUAAUUGUGAAAAUAUAAAAUAUGAC